GCCUACCACGGCUGACGACCUCCACCUGGCCGGGUUUAUUGUUCGGAGUUUGCUCUCCUAGGUGAACUGCCUACCACGGCUGACGACCUCCACCUGCCCGGGUUUGUUGUUCGGAGUUUGCUCUCCUAGGUGAAUUGCCUACCACGGCUAACGAGCCCCACCUGCCCGCGUUUGUUUAGAGUUUGCUCUCCUAGGUGAACUGCCUACCACGGCUAACGAGCCUCACCUGCCCGGGUUUGUUUAGAGUUUGCUCUCCUAGGUGAAUUGCCUCCCACGGCUAACGACCUCCACCUGCCCGGGUUUGUUUAGAGUUUGCUCUCCUAGGUGAAUUGCCUCCCACGGCUAACGACCUCCACCUGCCCGGGUUUGUUUAGAGUUUGCUCUCCUAGGUGAAUUGCCUCCCACGGCUAACGACCUCCACCUGCCCGGGUUUGUUUAGAGUUUGCUCUCCUAGGUGAAUUGCCUCCCACGGCUAACGACCUCCACCUGCCCGGGUUUGUAUAGAGUUUGCUCUCCUAGGUGAAUUGCCUCCCACGGCUAACGACCUCCACCUGCCCGGGUUUAUUGUUCGGAGUUUGCUCUCCUAGGCAGACUGCCUACCACGGCUAACGAGCUUCACCUGCCCGGGUUUGUAGCCGGAAGAUCUCCGGCACCUCCGUCGGGGCCCCGAGGGACGCCGAGGAGCCCUGCCUGGAGCCCUCCAG